CCUACGGGGUGCAGCAGUGAGGAAUAUUGGUCAAUGGACGAGAGUCUGAACCAGCCAAGUAGCGUGAAGGAUGACUGCCCUAUGGGUUGUAAACUUCUUUUAUAUGGGAAUAAAAUGUGCCACGUGUGGGAUUUUGUAUGUACCAUAUGAAUAAGGAUCGGCUAACUCCGUGCCAGCAGCCGCGGUAAUACGGAGGAUCCGAGCGUUAUCCGGAUUUAUUGGGUUUAAAGGGAGCGUAGGUGGAUUGUUAAGUCAGUUGUGAAAGUUUGCGGCUCAACCGUAAAAUUGCAGUUGAAACUGGUAGUCUUGAGUACAGUAGAGGUGGGCGGAAUUCGUGGUGUAGCGGUGAAAUGCUUAGAUAUCACGAAGAACUCCGAUUGCGAAGGCAGCUCACUGGACUGCAACUGACACUGAGGCUCGAAAGUGUGGGGAGCAAACAGGAUUAGAUACCCCGGUAGUC
rnacentral:rRNA from 1 species